GGGCCUAUAGCUCAACGGUCAGAGCAGGCGGCUCAUAACCGUCUGGUUCCUGGUUCAAAUCCAGGUGGGCCCA
rnacentral:tRNA from 1 species